GUGCCAGCAGCCGCGGUAAUACAGAGGGUGCAAGCGUUAAUCGGAAUUACUGGGUGUAAAGGGCGCGUAGGCGGCUAUGUAAGUUAGAUGUGAAAUUUCUGGGCUUAACCUGGGGACUGCAUUUAAAACUGUAUGGCUAGAGUAGGGUAGAGGGAAGUGGAAUUUCCGGUGUAGCGGUGAAAUGCGUAGAUAUCGGAAAGAACAUCGGUGGCGAAGGCGGCUUUCUGGACUUAUACUGACGCUGAGGCGCGAAAGCAUGGGGAGCAAACAGGAUUAGAUACCCUAGUAGUCC
rnacentral:rRNA from 1 species